UAGAUUAAAGUCCGCCGGUUUGGACAGCUGGUUGUUAAUUAGUUUAUUGCAGGAUCGAGGCCUGUUGAUCUAG
rnacentral:tRNA from 1 species